CUUUCGACCGGGAAGAUAAUGACGGUACCCGUAGAAGAAGCUCCGGCUAACUUCGUGCCAGCAGCCGCGGUAAUACGAAGGGGGCAAGCGUUGUUCGGAAUUACUGGGCGUAAAGGGUGCGUAGGCGGUUUGAUAAGUCUGGUGUGAAAUCUCCGGGCUCAACCCGGAGUCUGCAUCGAAAACUGUCGGGCUUGAGUAUGGGAGAGGUGAGUGGAAUUCCCGGUGUAGCGGUGAAAUGCGUAUAUAUCUGGAGGAACACCUGUGGCGAAAGCGGCUCACUGGACCAUUACUGACGCUGAUGCACGAAAGCUUGGGGAGCAAACAGGAUUAGAUACCCUGGUAGUCC
rnacentral:rRNA from 2 species